rnacentral:rRNA from 1 species
UACGUAGGGUGCAAGCGUUGUCCGGAAUUACUGGGCGUAAAGAGCUCGUAGGUGGUUUGUCACGUCGUCUGUGAAAUUCCACAGCUUAACUGUGGGCGUGCAGGCGAUACGGGCUGACUUGAGUACUGUAGGGGUAACUGGAAUUCCUGGUGUAGCGGUGAAAUGCGCAGAUAUCAGGAGGAACACCGAUGGCGAAGGCAGGUUACUGGGCAGUCACUGACGCUGAGGAGCGAAAGCAUGG